UAUAUAUAUAUACAUAUACACAACUUCUCACUGGUGAAAUUUUGGACUUGAUGCCUCUUCAGGAGUUCUUCUUCUUUUAAGCUGAUUUGUGUUGAAUCUGUUGAAAUGGGUUUCUAGUACGUUUCCGGUGUUCCGCUGUUGUCCGAGACCCCAUGUAAGAUCAGGAUUUAUUCCUUAAGAGUUGUUCAGAUUCGAGCUCGUUUCAGCAGGCGGUCCUCUCGUGUCUGUGAGAACUCGCUGUGGAAUGUUCCAGUACUUUUGCAAAGCAGCAUCGUAUUGCUGUUCUCCGGUUCUGAAUGUUGCGUCUGUCUGUGGAAGGAGAUCAAACCUGCAGGAAGAGAAACGGUCUUAAGUGUCUUCACCCUUUCCUCUUUCCGUCUCGCUGAUCGGGUCACGGUGUAAAUUUGACCCCAAUUUGAAUCGUUUCUCCCCCUCCCCCACCUUGUAUACGUCAUCCUUUUGCUUCAUCAUCCUAAAUGUUCCUGUCUGUACAUAACCUUAUUUAUAUUUCAUUCCUUUCCGCCGCCUUGCUUAUUUUAUUAUUCUUAUACAUUUGUAUAAUAAACUGUACUUGGACCAUUUUUUCUUCUUUUUUUUCUUUUUUUUUUAUAUAAAGUAUUAGAAUUUUUUCCCAUUUUUUUAAAAGUUUGUUGUUAUUAUUAUUAUUAUUAUUAUUAUUAUUAUUAUAUUAUUAUUAUUAUUGUCUUAAAAUCUUAUUUUAAUUUCCAUCUGUUUUUAUAGUGUUAUUCAAAAUUUUGAAUAUAUGUGUAUAUAAUUAUAUAUAUAUAUAAUUUUAAAAAAUUAUAUAUAAUUAUAUAAUGCUAAAUGGCCUUUCUAAGCAAGGAACUGUUCCAAUCUAAUAAAAUGCUUGAGAUUUUAUCACUGGUUCGAGUCUGAGUGGAAUGACUUUGUGUAAUUGUGUAUGUUUAUAAAUUUAUAAUUGAAAUAAAAUGAUCAGUAGUCGUUGUGGUUAUCUCACUAAUUAAUUUGUCUGCCUUUUUUUGUUGUUGUUUUGUUUGUUGUUUUUUGUGGUAGAAACCACAGAUUCUACUUGGACAGUAUUGUGUUCUUCAUAAUCCCAGGUUUUAACUAAAAAUAGAUGAUUGAUUUGGCCAAUUUUUUUUUAGAUCUGGCCCGUC
ensembl:lncRNA